UUAAGCCCCCAACAUAGAGUUUCAAACAAUCAUCGAGGAACCCAGCAAAGUUGUGUGCAUACUGAACACGAAGAAUGAAGCUUACGAUCACCUUGGGGCUAAUUUCCAUGAUAGUUAUUCCGAGAGAAGGCCUGUCCGAGAAACUGAAUCUGUCUGAAGUAGCAGAAAAAUACCUUGAGGAACGAUUUCCUGGCAACUUGGAAAGCUGGAGCCUGACGGACGGGUACCGAUUGAGCAAUGAGAAUGCAGUUACGGGGACAGUACAACCGUUUCAAUACGAGGGUGACUGCAAUAACAAAACCAGUUCUCAAUCUCCUAAGUGCAAGGAUCUGCACAUAUGGCUCUUACAUAAAACCAUAGUGACUCCAUUUUUAUGUUAGCUAACGUUACGGCCUCCUAUAAGGGUGAAAGAACUGAAACAUUUCAGUUUAACCUGAGCGAUGCAACGACAAUAACAUGGAAUCCGGGAAACGUGACAGAGCCUAUUAAUUACACUGCAGCAAUUGUGGAACAGG